GAAAUAAGUAAAAUAAUAAGUAUUGAAAUAAGUAAAACGGUUAAAAGUGUCGGUUAAAAAUAAUAAGAGUGUGGUGAGGGACAACAGGAUUCAGUCUUAUGUCGCAGCAGGGCAUCCUCAUUGGUUACAUGGUCUCUUUGAGGUUGAGAGAACUUCUCUUUCUAGCUAGCUUUGUUCUCUUUUCCAAUCUUUGUCGUCAUUUUUUGGUGAGAUGUUAUAGUUAUAAAUAACAUCUCAUGGUAACUCUAACUAAUCUUUUGUAAAGAGAACUUAUCAGUUCUGGAAAAUCAAUAUAAUCCUUU
rnacentral:sRNA from 1 species